rnacentral:rRNA from 1 species
UACGAAGGGACCUAGCGUAGUUCGGAAUUACUGGGCUUGAAGAGUUCGUAGGUGGUUGAAAAAGUUGGUGGUGAAAUCCCAGAGCUUAACUCUGGAACUGCCAUCAAAACUUUUCAGCUAGAGUUUGAUAGAGGAAAGCAGAAUUUCUAGUGUAGAGGUGAAAUUCGUAGAUAUUAGAAAGAAUACCAAUUGCGAAGGCAGCUUUCUGGAUCAUUACUGACACUGAGGAACGAAAGCAUGGGUAGCGAAGAGG